UACGUAGGGCGCAAGCGUUGUCCGGAAUUAUUGGGCGUAAAGAGCUCGUAGGCGGCUUGUCACGUCGGGUGUGAAAGCCCGGGGCUUUACCCCGGGUCUGCAUUCGAUACGGGCUAGCUAGAGUGUGGUAGGGGAGAUCGGAAUUCCUGGUGUAGCGGUGAAAUGCGCAGAUAUCAGGAGGAACACCGGUGGCGAAGGCGGAUCUCUGGGCCAUUACUGACGCUGAGGAGCGAAAGCGUGGGGAGCGAACAGG
rnacentral:rRNA from 1 species